GCCGAUCAGCGAGCGCGGCGAGAUUUCUUUUCUUUAAUAGUAAUAAACGAGCAGGAGCGGGAACGCCGGCGUGAGAUCUGUGACGGACGCAUCGCCACGAACACACUGGGAGGGGCUUUCACGCGCUGGAAGGGGAAAGGACGAGCGCCGGCUGUCACAGAGAGGGACAUCAGUAUUCCUGUCCUGUCAUCGGGGCUCCCUGACAUCACAUUUCAACACACACGCCAAUCGCAGGCCGUCUCCGUCCUGCCAACGUGACCUGUUGACAUCGUUUAUGGACGCGGCGUCACGUGACCAGCUGCUGACCGGAGAGGGACGGCGUCUUCGUUUACAUGAAAUCUAAAGGUGAUGAAAGUGAGUCUUUCUAUCGUCGUUGCGCAUCCAUGAUCUCCUGGUAUCGGAUGAACGGAAUGUUUAAAAUCCGAUUGUAUAAAACUCUCUUUUCAGGAUUACUAUCGUGGCAACAAUGCGUCUGAACUGAGGCAUCAUAAAUUGUUUUUUGCUAUGUGCUACUCAUAUUGUUGCUUGGUGGUAGUAGCCUAGUGGGUGACACACUCGCCUAUGAACCAGAAGACCCGGGUUCAAACCCCACUUACUACCAUCGUGUCCCUGAGCAGGACACUUAACCCUGAGUGUCUCCAGGGGGGACUGUCCCUGUAACUACUGACUCUGGAUAAGGGUAAAUGUAAAUGUAAAUAAGUGCAAGUUUUUCACACGAAUCGCACAACAAUGCAAGUCAAAAGCGAAUAAGAUAAUGAGACCGGGACCGUAUUUCACUCUACUUUACUUGUCCUGAUGGCCUGAGCCUGAUGGACCUCGAGCAGAGAAUUAGUCUUUUUUCUCUUCUUUCUUUUUUAAUACUGACGCACAUUUAUCAUAUGCAGAAGUACAGUGAUAGAUCUCCAGAGGGCGCCAGAGUUUCUAUUCUUGUCCCGUGGUAUUAAUAUUUGAACCGCCUAAUCAUGCAGCAUUUUAAUAAUAUCCGAAUGAUAAAAGGUUUCGGUCUGAUAAAGAAUAGAUCGUUGCUUUAUUAGAUUAUUUCCAGAAAAGAAAAAAGUAUUUUCGAGGAGAGAACGGGCCUCUUUUGAAUUCACUGAAGUCUGGUUCUGAUUCCUUCGGCAACAUGAUGGUUUUUCACCAUUAUAGCUGCCCAACUGCCGAUACGUCCAACAUUGGUCAAAUAUUGAUUUAUCUAAAGCGAUUAAUACAGAAUUUCCAUCGCUUCAUGAAACAGUGACGUGACGUGUGCAGAGAAAGACAACUUUGUUCUCCAUCUGUAGACUUCUGCUUGUGUGAGAGUGACACCAAGUUCUUCUGCACACAUCUCCACAUCUCAACGUGGA
rnacentral:lncRNA from 1 species